CUUCAUUAGACCUCUUGUCACCUCAUGAGCAGCAAGGAAAAGAAUUUCAAAGUAGCAGCUGAAGUUUCAUGCUUCAGAUCUGUGUAUGAGACCAAAUGAUGGAGUUCUGGCCUGAGAAUCAGGGACAGUCCCAUCUGUACUCCAGAUAUGGUACCGUUCCUGGGAGAAACUGUGCACACAACUAUCAUGACAGACAUCAGCCAACCCAUUAUUCACUGUACUAUGGUGAGCAGCAGGAUCAAAGCAGGGGGUCCACUUACUGGACUGCACCAGGAUCAAGAACAGCAGGAGCUCUACAGGAGUACACCAACUGGACAGACCCAGAGCUCGC